CUACGGGUGGCACCAGUGAGGAAUAUUGCACAAUGGGGGGAACCCUGAUGCAGCAACGCCGCGUGGAGGAUGACGCAUUUCGGUGUGUAAACUCCUUUUAUAUGUCAAGAAAAUGACGGUAGCAUAUGAAUAAGCACCGGCUAACUCCGUGCCAGCAGCCGCGGGUAAUACGGAGGGUGCAAGCGUUACUCGGAAUCACUGGGCGUAAAGGACGCGUAGGCGGGUUGGAAAGUCAGGUGUGAAAUCCUACAGCUUAACUGUAGAACUGCACUUGAAACUUCUAAUCUAGAGUAUGGGAGGGGGAGAUGGAAUUAGUGGAGUAGGGGUAAAAUCCGUAGAUAUCACUAGGAAUACCUAAAGCGAAGGCGAUCUCCUGGAACAUUACUGACGCUAAGGCGUGAAAGCGUGGGGAGCAAACAGGAUUAGAUACCCGGGUAGUC
rnacentral:rRNA from 1 species